ACCUAUCAAACACAGCUUAGCCUAGCCUACUUUAAAUGUUCUGAGAACCCUUACAUUAUCCUAUGGUUGAGCAAAAUCACUCCCACAAAGCCUAUUUUAUAAUAAAGUAUUGAAUAUCUCAUGAAAUGUAUAAAUACUGCGUUGAAGUAUUGUUUCUACUGAAUGUAUAUUGAUUUUGCACCAUCAAAAGAUUGAAAAAUUGUAAGUCAAACAAUUAUAAGUUAGACUAUCUGUAAUGUGCCCUUGUGUGGGCCUUUUGUGUUUAUUCUACUUGGAGUUUGUUGAGCUUCUUGGAAAGUUUGUUGAGCUUCAGGUUUAUGUAUUUAAUCAAAGUUUGAGAGUUUGCAGCCAUUAAUUCUUCAAAAAAUCUUUCUACCCCUUUCUCUUCUGCUUCUGGGACUCCAUGAUGUGUAUCUUGAUCUCCAAUCCCCUUCAUCCUUUUUUUCCCCCUUAGGUCAAUAAUUCAGUUGUUCUACCUUCAUGUUUUUUUGAUUAUUCUAUUUGCUUGAAUAUGCUCUUGAACUCCUUUAGUGAACUUUUUUAGUUCAGCUAUGUGCUUUCCAGCCCCAGAAUUUUUUUU